UUCAUACCCUAAGUGGUUUAUAUUCUCCACGUAGGAGCUCUUUAUUCUAAUGAAUGUUAUUCUCUAUUAUAUGAAUGUUCUUCUUAUGUUUCUAACAAAGAGGAGGUUUCAUCGGAGCAAGAUUUUCAACUUCCUGUAUCAUGCUUCAUUUCACCUGUUGUGGCUAGCGGUUGGGGUGAUGAUCUCUUCAUUUCAUCCUCACAUGGCACUGAGCAGAGAGAAGGGAAAUCAGCUUCCUUAUGUCUCUUCUUCUGGUUUUGUCUCAUACAAAAUGUAUUUCAGCAUCAUCCUAUAAAUACUUCCCAAAAGCCUCAUCUCCAAAAACUAUUACAUCAAGGAUUUGGAUUCAACACUGGAAUUUUGAGGGGCACAAAUAUUCAAUUUUUGCAAGGCUCAGAGCUCUUCCUCCAGGCACCCUUCUCCAUCUAAUGUUCUCAUGGUUAGUGGUAAUUUAAGGUCCUUCCCUUAAAGCAUUUUUUCCUUUACACUCAGGAUGUAAAUUAGACUUCUAUAAAUAAACUACUUGGUGUUGGAUUUAGGAUUUAUUAUGACAUUUAUACAAAUAUCCUAUGAGGCCUAUGUAGGUAUCUUGACUUUCGGGUAUGAAUUUUCAAAUGAAGUGUUUCCACACAAAAAUGCAGACUUCCUGAAAAGAACUUUUCCUGAUUCAUUCACUACUUUAUUCUGCAUGUUGAAUUACCUGUCUAAUAGUAAAGAUUUAAUAAUUAUUGAAAGAAUUAAUGAGGGAAUAAGGCUCAUUAAAGUUCAAUAAUUUCUGCAAAAUUUCACAGUUAAUAUGUAGAAUAUAAAUUUCAUCCGGAGCAUACAUUUAGACCCUGUGUAUUCUGUGAUUAACGUUCAUAAUAAUAAUCAAAUAAAGAGCAGGAAACAACAAAAUUACAAAGAAUAAAAUGUUUUAUGGAUGAGACACUGGAAAAAGAAAUGAAUUAUUUGAAAGAUGUAUUGA